rnacentral:rRNA from 1 species
UCCGUAGGUGAACCUGCGGAAGGAUCAUUACCGUGUUGAUUCGAGCUCCGGCUCGGCUCUCCCACCCUAUGUGUACCUACCUCUGUUGCUUUGGCGGGCCGCGGUCCUCCGCACCGGCGCCCUUCGGGGGGCUGGCCAGCGCCCGCCAGAGGACCAUAAAACUCCAGUCAGUGAACUUCGCAGUCUGAAAAACAAGUUAAUAAACUAAAACUUUCAACAACGGAUCUCUUGGUUCUGGCAUCGAUGAAGAACGCAGCGAAAUGCGAUAAGUAAUGUGAAUUGCAGAAUUCAGUGAAUCAUCGAAUCUUUGAACGCACAUUGCGCCCCUUGGUAUUCCGAGGGGCAUGCCUGUUCGAGCGUCAUUUCAACCCUCAAGCUCUGCUUGGUAUUGGGCCCCGUCCUCCACGGACGCGCCUUAAAGACCUCGGCGGUGGCGUCUUGCCUCAAGCGUAGUAGAAAACACCUCGCUUUGGAGCGCACGGCGUCGCCCGCCGGACGAACCUUUGAAUUAUUUCUCAAGGUUGACCUCGGAUCAGGUAGGGAUACCCGCUGAACUUAAGCAUAUCAAUAAGCGGAGGA